rnacentral:rRNA from 1 species
GAUGAACGCUGGCGGCGUGCUUAACACAUGCAAGUCGAACGGUGAAGGCGGAGCUUGCUCUGCUGGAUCAGUGGCGAACGGGUGAGUAACACGUGAGCAAUCUGCCCCUGACUCUGGGAUAAGCGCUGGAAACGGCGUCUAAUACUGGAUACGAGCUGCGAAGGCAUCUUCAGCAGCUGGAAAGAACUUCGGUCAGGGAUGAGCUCGCGGCCUAUCAGCUUGUUGGUGAGGUAACGGCUCACCAAGGCGUCGACGGGUAGCCGGCCUGAGAGGGUGACCGGCCACACUGGGACUGAGACACGGCCCAGACUCCUACGGGAGGCAGCAGUGGGGAAUAUUGCACAAUGGGCGAAAGCCUGAUGCAGCAACGCCGCGUGAGGGACGACGGCCUUCGGGUUGUAAACCUCCUUUAGCAGGGAAGAAGCGAAAGUGACGGUACCUGCAGAAAAAGCGCCGGCUAACUACGUG